UCCGCCUCUGCCCUCCCGAGCCCCAGGGAAAAUGCUUUCCAGCAUUGUCGAGCUUCUGAAAGACAAAACUUGUGAUUUGACACUAGCAUCCAGAAAAGGUUUCUGUCUAGAUUAGCAAAUGCCUAAAUUGUUCUUGGUUACAUCCCAUGACCGGUUUUAGGCAGUGACUUUAUACUGCUUUUAGGAUUUUCUUGUACAAUGGUGAGAAAAUAGGCAGGUCUGAUAGUGGUUUCACUUUUUUUCUACUUCACGUUCCAUAAGAUUCUUUUAUCCAAGCACUUGUUUUAAAAUUCUACUGUAGGCAUGUAUGGUUCACUUUUUUUUUUCUUUGCAGCACCCGUGACUUUUUUUUCUCUCUAAAUCGGGAGUAAAUAUAGCUGAGUAAAAUUAGCUUGGUUUUCUUCCUUCUUUUUUAACUGAAUUGUUUUUAUUAAAAAUCCUAUUUGAAUAUGUAGAAAAAGUGGGGAUGUCCUGUAAUAUAUCCUAGCUUUUCUUGUUUACAGGGUACUCAGAAAAUAUGUCUCCCUUAGAGUCCCACAGAAAGGUUCUCAGUGCGAUCUCUAUCAAGUGCUAUGAGUCUUGAUAAAUUGGAGAAGAGCCCAAGAGAAAUUUUUCGUCCCUUGAUAUAAAAGGGAUCGGUGAAUUUUAACUUUGGAGUCCUCUAUGCUAAGGGUGCUCAGCCUACAGAUGAUGAAAUGUUCAGUAAUGUAUUUGCUGCAGCUCUGCUUACCCAAUCUUUGGGUUCCUUCUGUCCCACUGUGAGUUGCCCUGUUUGGUUG